rnacentral:rRNA from 1 species
GAUGAACGCUGGCGGCGUGCCUAAUACAUGCAAGUCGAGCGAACAGACGCGGAGCUUGCUCCUCUGACGUUAGCGGCGGACGGGUGAGUAACACGUGGAUAACCUACCUAUAAGACUGGGAUAACUUCGGGACACCGGAGCUAAUACCGGAUAAUAUAUUGAACCGCAUGGUUCAAUAGUGAAAGACGGUUUUGCUGUCACUUAUAGAUGGAUCCGCGCCGCAUUAGCUAGUUGGUAAGGUAACGGCUUACCAAGGCAACGAUGCGUAGCCGACCUGAGAGGGUGAUCGGCCACACUGGAACGGAGACACGGUCCAGACUCCUACGGGAGGCAGCAGUAGGGAAUCUUCCGCAAUGGGCGAAAGCCUGACGGAGCAACGCCGCGUGAGUGAUGAAGGUCUUCGGAUCGUAAAACUCUGUUAUUAGGGAAGAACAAAUGUGUAAGUAACUAUGCACGUCUUGACGGUACCUAAUCAGAAAGCCACGGCUAACUACGUG